AGGAUCUCUUUCUGGAGAUCUCUCCUUGGUGGAAGCCUUUCCCUGCGAACCCGGAAUCUUCUGAUACAGUUUUUAAGAUUUGGUGAUUAAAAGGGAACAAGAGAACUCCAAAGGCAAACAUGGAAGUGAUGAUCAGGGGCGGUUCCUGUGGUCAUUCCAGACAGACUGACGAAGAGGCACCUCAAUAUCCCAGCAUGAGUCCCAGGUAACUGCAGGAUGGAAAGCAUCCCCAAGGAAAAUACAAAACAUUCAACUUCAAAUUCCCAGCAGAGCCCUCAAAAUUCCCUUCCAGUUUUAAAGCAAAACUCGGGACUAUUGUACUUUGAAACACCUUCGUUUAAUCACUUUGAGUAUUCUGCUAGGGAGUAACUAAAUGGUACUUAGUGCUUUUAAGGUAGUGAGCAUUCCCUAAGAGCUUACAGAGUUCUUCGAGCAUGAUGGAAGCAAAAUUAAAUGUUUUAAAACAUAUCCUCCUUAGCGACUCUGCCUCAUUAGCUAGCACUGUACACAAAGCAAUGCUCUGCCUGGUGAGGCAACAAUAAAUAAUACAAGAAAUAAUGACAAAACAAUUAGGUAUUCCUGGAAGCAAUGCGAUUUAGCUUUUCUUUACAACUAGGUAAAGCACUGCUCUUAUAAAUAUAUAAAAAAAACCACACCAAACAACCCACUAGUUAUGCCAUUGCAUCUUUUUAAUGGUGUACUGGUCUUAGGAUUAGCCCCUUCUUUGCUUUGAGUGGGUGGCAGAAGGACACUGCUUACUGCUCCACACAGUGUGCUCAUCUGAAAUAACUAAGAACCUGUCCCAUACUUUAACAGCAUUCCAGGUUGGCAUAGCACCCACAAAUCAAAGAAUUAGUGUGAAUUUUUUUGUGCGGGUGAUAAAAAGGGAGAAGCAGCCUAUGGCUACACCCUUGCUUUGUAUGCAAAAUUAUGUCAACCCCAGACCCCAGAACAACUCAACGCACACAGGCACGCAUCCUUCCAGCAAGCCUUCUGAAGUCUGAUGCUAGGUUUUACAGCAUCGCUAAGCAGCAAACUGUGGGAAGGAAGCAGAUGUUAAGAAAACUGCGACUAAAAAUAGGCAGCGAUCCCUCAGUUUGUCUGCACAGCUUCCCUGCACCUACACACCGCAGCACACCCCCCCGCUUCAGCAUUCUGCUAAGGAAGAUGGAGUUUUUUUUCUAAGCGACUCCAAUCCUCGCCGCCAUUCAGGAACCAGGUGCGUGCAGCCCAGGAAGCAUCCCCUGACCUUUCCCAUGUAACAGCGGCAGGGAUGCCGAGCUGCCAGCCGCGCCGCGCUCCGCUGCGGGCGAACCGCACUGCGUGAGCCCAAGUCAGCGGCAGGCGUCCCGCAGAGCUUAUGGAGCCCAACCGUAGCCAGCCCCAGCCAUCCGUACCUUCGAGCACCUGGGGAGGGAAGAGCAGAGGGUAACAAAGAGCCAGCCCGCUGCGGGUACCUGCUACAGGAACAGAUCGGCGGCGGCAGGAAGAGAACCCGGCGGGGUCAGGCAAGCCUUAGAGCCGGGCGCUGCAGAGCCCCCUAGCCGCCCCCGGGCAGCAGCCCAGCGGGGAGCGCACAGCCCGGGCUGGGCCGCGUGGGCUCCGAGCGUGCCCUGGGGGAGAGGGAGCCCCGGGAGGGGGAGGGGGGGAAGAGUGAGCUAUCCGGGUUUUGCGAGGCUUGUCCUCGCACACGCUCAGCACUGGGAAAGGUUGUUUUUCGUUAAUUUGACUGGUUUUAGUCUAAAAGUAAUGAGAUGGGCGCUCCAAUGCAUUAAAAAAAAUUCCCAUUACCUGUACGCGUGAAAGGACAAAGUCAGACAUUGCUCUUUUUCUUGCAGACCCCAUCUUCCUGAUUAAGAAAUAGUUUUACUUCGUAUCCUUGUUAAGCACCUUAAAUGUGGAAGUUUCCUACAAUCUGAGCAAGGCACAUGCUGCUGGCAUCGCAUUUCUCCCUUCUUAGAACGGAACGAUCCACCAGGAUGCGCAGCGAGCAGCCCAGCGCAGAAGUGGAUCGUCCCCUUCUGCCCCCAGAUUUCUCCGAGAUUCCUGACAUUUCUGAAUAUUCAUGGGCCGGUUUCAAACAAAGCCUCCGCCGACCUACGGCUCCCAUAGCCCCGAGCACCAACGGGCCGCGAGCUGGCCGAACAUCUGGAAGUUACGGUGUACUGUAUUCUCCCUGAACGAUCGCUGUUCUGAAUCUACAUCGGAGCAGAGCACUGGGAGGUGCGAGCCCCCCACACAGCGGGGAAGGGCUCACUGUGCAGCUGCUCCUGCAGGGACACCCAGGUACAAAGCGCUGCCCCAUGCACAGCUCUGCAAAUGAAGAAACGCGCACACCACACGUAAAGCAAACAAACCGAAGCAUCCACAACAAAGGCUUGGCUUUUAAAAGCGAAGAAAUUCUCUCCUUGAACCCUCACCGAACUUUCCCACUCUAGUUCAGUCACUACAACCAACGAGUGAUACUGUGAUUUUGGCUGAACUACAACUCCACCCGAGAUUCAGACAACUCCUAUUUCUCACAGCAUCCGGCAGGCAAAGAAAACUGAAGCUCAUAAAGUCACAUGGAUAUAAGAAGCUCCGAAGCCAGACCUGUCCACACCACAACAUCACCCAUUUCUGCUGCUAAGCCCGGCGAGCAGUUAUCCCAAACCAAACGUCGCGCUCCAGCAUCUCAUAAUGAAGACGGCAUUUCCCAGAUUACAAGCAUCUACUUAAAUAUUUUGGCCACAUCUUUCGAAAGCAUGGCUCGUUUGGACGAUGACAUUCUGCAAAGCACGUGAUCCCUGCAAUUCCACUUAACUUAGAUGAUGAGCACCUCAUUAACUGAGUGCCAUCACCAUGCCCUGAAGGGAAAGCCAGUCCUCACCAUACCACUGAGAAACACUGAGGACAACAACCCGGGCUGGGAGGACCAGCACGACAAUCCAGGAAUGAUCCCUCUGCUCAUUGACUCCCUCAUGAGGAUAACUCACCACGUUACGACUGUCUUGCUACUGUUUAUGUUAAUAAUAAUUUAAAAAAAAAGUCUGCAAAGCAAGCGAUACACAUUUAAAACCUAAGUCAUCUGCUUCUCAUGAUGAUCCACGCUCAAAUCAGAAGCCUACAAGAUGGCAUUGCAUGCAAAUGAGGAGGAUGUCCGCAUGUAGCACCUUCUGCUUGUUGAUAAACACAGCAGGGAUUACCAGCCCUCCUUCACGGGAUGCUUUAUAUGUUAAUGGGCCCACACUGGUGAAUCAUUUCAGCUACCAUCAGGUACCGCAAGUCUUUCCCUUCUCUUAAUAGUUCGGUGCCAACAACAACUGAGGGUGAAAGCCGGAGGGCUUGGACGUGUAUGCAAUAUUCUCUACUUCAUUAUCUUAGUCCUUAACAAGAGAUAAGCAAUCACGCAAUCUGCUUUACUCUUCAAAGUUUCUUCCUAACUCAGGCAUCAUCUCUGCCUGUUCCACUUCACUUCCACGUUCCUCUACUCUAUGAUACUUUCCUCUUCUGCUCUAAUAAAAAUUGCUGUUUCUUUUUCCCAUCACAUUCGCCGCUGUUGCCCUGGUUGACUUCCACUUUUCUCUUUUCCUAUCAAGAAGUGGUUCCUAAAAUAGGCAGCUUAGCUGGGUGUUCCACCUUCUUUGCAGGUAUUAUCGCAGCUAUCCAAGGCUCUUCAGAAUGACAUGCCUGAAAACAGGUAAGAACAGGCAGAAAGAACAGCAACACUGUGACUGGAGCUCCCAGCAAAGCUCCUGAGCAGCGCCUGAGAACUUCCCUGUUCCACGGCAAAUUACGACUGUCCACACACGACCCCUACGAAAAAUGAACUAUUGGUACUAAAAAACAGAGCCACGUCUACUUGAUUCUUCUGCCUCCCAACAAGGGACAGAUGUAACAUUUGCCUAUUUAAUCCCAGACACCCCACAACAUCUUCCUUAAACUUCUCUAUCCAAUCAACUCGGUCUGUCACUAGAUGGAUAUUUUGCCAAAGAAAGUACCAAAAAAGUGUCAUUUUUUUUUUAUGGAACACUAUGAUAGCUCCUACCAGGCAACACUGAACUUAAUGAACACAUGUGAUACUCUACGCUAACUAAUUUUAUUUCAUAAAAGCCCUCUUGAGCAUGUAACAUUACUUAGAACAAAGCUGAAAUAAUUCCACUGACUUUUGAGAUGGAUUUAACAAAUAUCAAGAUACAAAAAGCAGCAGGAAGAAGUUAGUCAAAAAACAGUAACAAGGAAGAACUCCAAAAUGACCCCUGCAGGAAUAGCGAUGUCCAGAUGCACUAAUUCUGCCUUGGCACCUUCUCACCUAAAUGCAGUCAAAUAAGCAUUAGUUUAUUAGGUGAGCGAUUCAGCUUUUCCAUCUUUUCAAUGGAAAUGAAGGUACUCCUCCAGAACCCUAUCACAUCCACCUGUCCUGUGGACCACCUGUCCAGACCUAAGAACCGGACUGUAAGCAACUGCUCAUCUAAAUUUGAGAUUCUAAAUAUGCCUUUCAGUGGAAGCAUUGCUAAGUUAAUGGUAAUUUGUAUGUAAACUACUUUAGAACUUUACACUGAGUUCUCAAAAUUCAACGCAUAUAUCUGAAGUAGAUACCAAACUACAUUACCACUGUGCUUCUUUAUGGAAAGGACAGCGUACAGCAUGCUGUUGUUGGAUCAGAAACACAUUUUUCUACUGAAGAGUGAAAGGCUAAGAUGAUAGAUGCCAAGAGCACACACAGUUCUGCUAACGUGUCCUGGAUGAGGUAUGCUCUGCUGGAGAAGACUUACUUUGAGAAGAUUCAAUGAUCACAGAGAAUAAAUGUCAUGAGCAAAAGCAGGAUGCAGGUACAGGAGCACUGGUUUUAUGCCAUUAGCAUACUGUUAUAAAAUGGAUGAUGGAAAUCGUCUGAACUGAGGUAGUCACUGACUGAAAACCUUGUAGCAAGUUUAAUGUAGAGAAUCUUCUUCAAGACUUAUUUAUGGAAAAGCCAACAUGAAUGGGAAUGCCUGGAAGGAAUGGUGGGAUACAACAGUUAGUAAACGAUAGAAUAGUUGAGAUUAGUACUUCAAAAAACGUUGGGAGAAGCUUUGGAAUUAAUUUCCAGUAUCCUAACCAUGCAAAUGGCCUUGAAGCAAGUGUAAACAGCUCACUUUCUUUUUGUUUAUUAUAUACUGUGUGAAAAGCCUUACUGUAAAAGACUAAGGUCAAUUACGCUUAUUUUUUACAAGGUUAAUUCAAGGAUUAUGACAGCAAAGCAUCCUUUGAGAGGUGCUCAAGCCUUUGCAAAGAAUUCUAUUUUCAUCACCUUUAUACCACUUCAGAGUAUCUAGGAAGAAAACUUUCCAAAUGAGAUGAUCUUCAAUUUUUAAAUAAACCCAUGAAAAAUUAAAAA